UACGGAAGGCAGCAGGGGGGAAUAUUGCACAAUGGGCGAAAGCCUGAUGCAGCUAUGCCGCGUGUAUGAAGAAGGCCUUAGGGUUGUAAAGUACUUUCAUCGGGGAGGAAAAAAACAAAACUAAUAAUUUUAUUUCUUGACGUUACCCGAAAAAGAAGCACCGGCUAACUCCGUGCCAGCAGCCGCGGUAAUACGGAGGGUGCUAGCGUUAAUCAGAAUUACUGGGCGUAAAGAGCACGUAGGUGGUUUUUUUAAGUCAGAUGUGAAAUCCCUGGGCUUAACCUAGGAACUGCAUUUUGAAACUGAAAUACUAGAGUAUCGUAGAGGGAGGUAGAAUUCUAGGUGUAGCGGUGAAAUGCGUAGAUAUCUGGAGGAAUACCUGUGGCGAAAGCGGCCUCCUAAACGAAUACUGACACUGAGGGUGCGAAAAGCGUGGGGAGCAAACAGGGAUUAGAUACC
rnacentral:rRNA from 1 species